GAUCAUUAAAGAAAUUUAAUAAUUUUGAAAAUGGAUUUUUUUUUUUUGUUUUGGCAAGAGCAUGAGAGCUUUUACUGGGCAAGAAGACAAGAGAUGGAGAGUCCAGCCGGGCCUGCGCUUAAGUGCGCGGUCUUGCUAGGCUUGUAAGUUUCUUUCUUGCUAUUCCAAACGGUGAGAGAUUUCUGUGCUUUUGUUAUAGGACAAUUAAAACCGUUUCAAUACAACACACUGUGGAGUUUUCAUAUCUUUGCAACUUUUUCUUUGGGCAUUCGAGCAAUCGGGGCCCAGAGGUAACAAACACAAACAAUUUUAUCUAUUCAUUAAAUUUUUGUCAAAAACAAGAAUUUUCGUAACUGGAAAUUUUAAAAUAUUAAAAACUUUCAACAACGGAUCUCUUGGUUCUCGCAUCGAUGAAGAACGCAGCGAAAUGCGAUACGUAAUGUGAAUUGCAGAAUUCCGUGAAUCAUCGAAUCUUUGAACGCACAUUGCGCCCCUUGGUAUUCCAGGGGGCAUGCCUGUUUGAGCGUCAUUUCCUUCUCAAACAUUCUGUUUGGUAGUGAGUGAUACUCUUUGGAGUUAACUUGAAAUUGCUGGCCUUUUCAUUGGAUGUUUUUUUUCCAAAGAGAGGUUUCUCUGCGUGCUUGAGGUAUAAUGCAAGUACGGUCGUUUUAGGUUUUACCAACUGCGGCUAAUCUUUUUUUAUACUGAGCGUAUUGGAACGUUAUCGAUAAGAAGAGAGCGUCUAGGCGAACAAUGUCUAAAGU
rnacentral:misc_RNA from 1 species